rnacentral:tRNA from 1 species
GCAGUGGUGGUUCAGUGGUAGAACACUAGCCUUCCGUUCAGGAGACCUAGACUCAAUUCCCAGCCAACGCA